UAUUAAUAACGUGUUUCUAACAUAUUAAUUUGUUGCUUAUAGCAAAUCAAGAAUUAGUGUAUAAAAAUUUUGCAGUAACCUAUUUCGGAGACGUAAAUCAUUCAUAUUGCUCUUGAGUGAAACAUUGUUUAAUUUAACAAAGCAUACAGGCGUCUUCCGUAUGAAAACCACUUUAAAAUUUUCGACAUGUUGUCGUAGUGGUUUGAUAUAACAGACUUAUAUGUGCAUUGCUGUCUCCCAGUGAGAGUUUACAACAGUUAGUGAAAAUUAACCCACUCGUCAACUGAAAUAUGGAAUUCUCACUAAAUCUUCAAAUCCGAGUGUCCGCAAGAAAAACCUGAAGGUCCGCUAGGUACCUCUCCAAAUGAAUUCUCAAAGACACAAGGGCUCAGCCGUGGUGUCAGGGUCACACGGAAGAAGACCGAACAUUAACGCUGCUAACAUUGUCCGUAUUAACUUGAAAUAAAACUAAUCAGAAUUCCA